AGUGAACGCUGGCGGUAGGCCUAACACAUGCAAGUCGAACGGCAGCACAGUAAGAGCUUGCUCUUACGGGUGGCGAGUGGCGGACGGGUGAGGAAUACAUCGGAAUCUACUUUUUCGUGGGGGAUAACGUAGGGAAACUUACGCUAAUACCGCAUACGACCUACGGGUGAAAGCAGGGGAUCUUCGGACCUUGCGCGAUUGUAUGAGCCGAUGUCGGAUUAGCUAGUUGGCGGGGUAAAGGCCCACCAAGGCGACGAUCCGUAGCUGGUCUGAGAGGAUGAUCAGCCACACUGGAACUGAGACACGGUCCAGACUCCUACGGGAGGCAGCAGUGGGGAAUCUUGGACAAUGGGCGCAAGCCUGAUCCAGCCAUACCGCGUAGGUGAAGAAGGCCUUCGGGUUGUAAAGCCCUUUUGUUGGGAAAGAAGAGCAGCAGGUUAAUACCCCGCUGUUCUGACGGUACCCAAAGAAUAAGCACCGGCUAACUUCGUG
rnacentral:rRNA from 1 species